rnacentral:rRNA from 1 species
GAUGAACGCUAGCGGCAGGCUUAAUACAUGCAAGGCGAGGGGGCAGCAAUGUCACCGUCGUACGGGUGCGUAACGCGUAUGCAACCUACCUUCAACUGGGGGAUAGCCCGGGGGAAACCCGGAUUAAUACCGCAUGACACAUUGAUAUAGCAUCAUAUUAAUUGUUAAAGAUUUAUUAGUUGAAGAUGGGCAUGCGUUCG